GCUGGGCACGGUGGCGCAUGCCCAUAAUCCCAGCGGCUUGAGAGGCUGAGGCAGGAGGAUCACAAGUUCAAAGCCAGCCUCAGCAAAAGCAAGGUUCUUAGCAACUCAGUGAAAUCCUGUCUUUA
rnacentral:sRNA from 1 species